rnacentral:rRNA from 1 species
CGGAGAAUUGCUAGCUUGCUAAUAAUUCUCUAGUGGCGCACGGGUGAGUAACACGUGAGUACCUGCCCCCAAGAGUGGGAUAGCCCCGGGAAACUGGGAUUAAUACCGCAUAAAGCAAUAAAGCAGCAAUGCGCUUGGGGAUGGGCUCGCGUCCUAUUAGUUAGUUGGUGAGGUAACGGCUCACCAAGGCGAUGACGGGUAGCCGGUCUGAGAGGAUGUCCGGCCACACUGGAACUGAGACACGGUCCAGACACCUACGGGUGGCAGCAGUCGAGAAUCAUUCACAAUGGGGGAAACCCUGAUGGUGCGACGCCGCGUGGGGGAUAAGGUCUUCGGAUUGUAAACCCCUGUCAUGUGGGACAUUAAAAGAUAGUACCACAAGAGGAAGAGACGGCUAACUCUGUGCCAGCAGCCGCGGUAAUACAGAGGUCUCAAGCGUUGUUCGGAAUCACUGGGCGUAAAGCGUGCGUAGGCGGUUUCGUAAGUCGUGUGUGAAAGGCGGGGGCUCAACCCCCGGACUGCACAUGAUACUGCGAGACUAGAGUAAUGGAGGGGGAACCGGAAUUCUCGGUGUAGCAGUGAAAUGCGUAGAUAUCGAGAGGAACACUCGUGGCGAAGGCGGGUUCCUGGACAUUAACUGACGCUGAGGCACGAAGGCCAGGG